AGAGUUUGAUCAUGGCUCAGAUUGAACGCUGGCGGCAGGCCUAACACAUGCAAGUCGAACGGUAACAGGAAACAGCUUGCUGUUUCGCUGACGAGUGGCGGACGGGUGAGUAAUGUCUGGGAAACUGCCUGAUGGAGGGGGAUAACUACUGGAAACGGUAGCUAAUACCGCAUAACGUCGCAAGACCAAAGAGGGGGACCUUCGGGCCUCUUGCCAUCAGAUGUGCCCAGAUGGGAUUAGCUAGUAGGUGGGGUAACGGCUCACCUAGGCGACGAUCCCUAGCUGGUCUGAGAGGAUGACCAGCCACACUGGAACUGAGACACGGUCCAGACUCCUACGGGAGGCAGCAGUGGGGAAUAUUGCACAAUGGGCGCAAGCCUGAUGCAGCCAUGCCGCGUGUAUGAAGAAGGCCUUCGGGUUGUAAAGUACUUUCAGCGGGGAGGAAGGGAGUAAAGUUAAUACCUUUGCUCAUUGACGUUACCCGCAGAAGAAGCACCGGCUAACUCCGUGCCAGCAGCCGCGGUAAUACGGAGGGUGCGAGCGUUAAUCGGAAUUACUGGGCGUAAAGCGCACGCAGGCGGUUUGUUAAGUCAGAUGUGAAAUCCCCGGGCUCAACCUGGGAACUGCAUCUGAUACUGGCAAGCUUGAGUCUCGUAGAGGGGGGUAGAAUUCCAGGUGUAGCGGUGAAAUGCGUAGAGAUCUGGAGGAAUACCGGUGGCGAAGGCGGCCCCCUGGACGAAGACUGACGCUCAGGUGCGAAAGCGUGGGGAGCAAACAGGAUUAGAUACCCUGGUAGUCCACGCCGUAAACGAUGUCGACUUGGAGGUUGUGCCCUUGAGGCGUGGCUUCCGGAGCUAACGCGUUAAGUCGACCGCCUGGGGAGUACGGCCGCAAGGUUAAAACUCAAAUGAAUUGACGGGGGCCCGCACAAGCGGUGGAGCAUGUGGUUUAAUUCGAUGCAACGCGAAGAACCUUACCUGGUCUUGACAUCCACGGAAGUUUUCAGAGAUGAGAAUGUGCCUUCGGGAACCGUGAGACAGGUGCUGCAUGGCUGUCGUCAGCUCGUGUUGUGAAAUGUUGGGUUAAGUCCCGCAACGAGCGCAACCCUUAUCCUUUGUUGCCAGCGGUCCGGCCGGGAACUCAAAGGAGACUGCCAGUGAUAAACUGGAGGAAGGUGGGGAUGACGUCAAGUCAUCAUGGCCCUUACGACCAGGGCUACACACGUGCUACAAUGGCGCAUACAAAGAGAAGCGACCUCGCGAGAGCAAGCGGACCUCAUAAAGUGCGUCGUAGUCCGGAUUGGAGUCUGCAACUCGACUCCAUGAAGUCGGAAUCGCUAGUAAUCGUGGAUCAGAAUGCCACGGUGAAUACGUUCCCGGGCCUUGUACACACCGCCCGUCACACCAUGGGAGUGGGUUGCAAAAGAAGUAGGUAGCUUAACCUUCGGGAGGGCGCUUACCACUUUGUGAUUCAUGACUGGGGUGAAGUCGGAACAAGGUAACCGUAGGGGAACCUGCGGUUG
rnacentral:rRNA from 1 species